AUUUGACAGGGCACGCGAGUGGUAAACUGCAUUUAAAAUGUAUGGGGGAAAUCAGGAAAAAUUAAUUAUUUUGACGUAGGUAAUUUUUUUAUCUACUACCAGGAGAAUUUUUACCCCACUCCCUUGCAUGGUGUCGGAGAUUUUUGAAAAAAAACUGAUUUUCCUUGUAUAAAUUUAAAUUUCUUACCACUACUCGUACAGUGCCAUCUCUUAGAAAUUUUGCCGCGGCGGGUAUCCUAUUCUCUUAACACUGCAAAUAUUAAUCAUGCAAAUAACUAUUUUAAUUAAAAACAUAUAAAAAAAAAUUAAAUAAUAAAAACCUUUAGCAGGUAAAUUUCGCGCAACAUUGCCUAAACGCACCUAACAGUGUAUGUUUACAUCCAGUUGGACAUCUGUGCGCGUCGCGAAAACGUCAGCUGAUGCUCAAGUGUUUUGCUGUAGUUUGCGUAUUUCGCUGUUUGCGAAUGAAUUACGGUGCAUUUUUUUUUUUGAUGAUGUUUCGUAUGGAUUCGAAACGAGUGCUGUGAAACUUGUGGACCACGUAGGUUUAGGAUUGCUCGGCGUUAAACAUCUGUGUUUGUGGAUAUCUUUCAAGACGGCAUCCGUGAUUCUUCUGAACGAUCAAGAAGAAACAGGAUAAAUUUGAGACCUAAACCCAGAUCCAGCAGACGACCCUGAUUGAUACACGGAUCAAUAAGCUUCUGUUCGGUGCGGCUAAUCCAGCCGGAUUUGGCAAGUUGGCGAUCCAGACCUUUCCGAAAUGGUCAAACCGACUUUCAGAGGGAACCUUUGUUGACGGAGCUGGAAACAGAACCGAUUUCGCGUGGAUUUUUUUUUCAGAGAAAGCGAAGCAUUUCGCAGCAUGUUUUUGUUUAUAAACUCAUAGUCUAGGAUAUAACGUAUUGAAGAAUAUUACCAGCAACCUAAUGGACAAAUCAGAUAAGUUAACAUUAAAUGUAGUAAGCUAGAUACUGUGCAGUUUGUUUUCUUUUUUCAGGUUUAAACCAAGAGCAACAAGAUCACCAGGUGAACUGUCGAUAGCCCGGCGUUGCACGACUGCUUCGUUUUCCUUCAGAAGCGGCUGCUGAAGUUACGUUAAACUUGGAACCCAUCUAUCCGACCGACGAUUUCCACAGGAUGGCGGAGAUGGAGCUGAUAUUCGGUCAACUUUCUACCGCAUUGGAUGCCUCCUUGAUCUGUGAUUUUUUUUUCCUCUGUAUAAUUUAAUCCUAAGACUUUUUGUGGAUUUUUUUUUUUUUUUU